rnacentral:rRNA from 1 species
UACGGAGGGUGCAAGCGUUAAUCGGAAUUACUGGGCGUAAAGCGCGCGUAGGCGGCUUGAUAAGUCGGAUGUGAAAGCCCUGGGCUCAACCUAGGAACUGCAUUCGAUACUGUCAAGCUAGAGUGUGGGAGAGGGUGGUGGAAUUCCCGGUGUAGCGGUGAAAUGCGUAGAUAUCGGGAGGAACAUCAGUGGCGAAGGCGACCGCCUGGCCCAACACUGACGCUGAGGUGCGAAAGCGUGGGUAGCAAACAGG